rnacentral:rRNA from 1 species
UAGUCCACGCCCUAAACGAUGCUUACUCGAUGUUUGUAUUUAUAUGAGCAUCCAAGGGAAACCGUUAAGUUAGCCACCUGGGGAGUACGUUCGCAAGAAUGAAACUCAAAGGAAUUGACGGGGUCCGCACAAGCGGUGGAGCAUGUGGCUUAAUUCGAUGAUACGCGAGGAACCUUACCUAGGCUACAAUGUGAUCGCAAUCUGGUGAAAGCCGGAGUUCCUUCGGGACGAGAAACAAGGUGCUGCAUGGUUGUCGUCAGCUCGUGCCGUGAGGUGUUGGGUUAAGUCCCGCAACGAGCGCAACCCUCAUCCUUAGUUGCCAUCAUUUAGUUGGGCACUUUAAGGAAACUGCCGGUGAUAAGCCGGAGGAAGGUGGGGAUGACGUCAAGUCCUCAUGGGCCCUUACAGGGCUGGGGCUACACACGUGCUACAAUGGGUAUCUACAGUGAGCAGCGAU